AACGAACGCUGGCGGCAUGCCUAACACAUGCAAUUCGAACGAGACCUUCGGGUCUAGUGGCGCACGGGUGCGUAACGCGUGGGAACCUGCCCUUUGGUUCGGAAUAACUCCCCGAAAGGGGUGCUAAUACCGGAUAAUGUCUUCGGAGCAAAGAUUUAUCGCCUUUGGAUGGGCCCGCGUUGGAUUAGCUAGUUGGUAGGGUAAAAGCCUACCAAGGCGACGAUCCAUAGCUGGUCUGAGAGGAUGAUCAGCCACACUGGGACUGAGACACGGCCCAGACUCCUACGGGAGGCAGGAGUGGGGAAUAUUGGAAAAGGGGCGAAAGGCUGAUCAAGCAAGGACGCGUGAGUGAUGAAGGCCUUAGGGUUGUAAAGCUCUUUUAACCGGGAUGAUAAUGACAGUACCGGGAGAAUAAGCUCCGGCUAACUCCGUG
rnacentral:rRNA from 1 species